AUGACCGCCGGCUCCCGACGGAGGCCCCCGCCGCCCCGCCGCCGCGCCUCCCCCAUGGCGCCUUCCCCCCUCUCCGUAUCCUCCACCAACGCCUCCCCGCCGCCGCGCCGCCUCCGCCGCACGGCCGUCGCGGCCGCCGGCGCCGCGCUCGCGACGCUCCUCCUCCUCGCCGCGGCCGCCGCCGUCUGGCGCCCGGGCUACCUCCCCGCCGCGCUCCUCCGCCGGCCGCCGCCCGCCGCCGCCAGGUUCUACUCCUUCGACCUGGUCCGCGAGUACCCGCACGACCCCAAGGCCUUCACCCAGGGCCUCCUGUACGGGGGGAACGACACUCUCUUCGAGUCCACCGGUCUCUAUCACCAGUCGUCGGUCCGAAAGGUUGAUCUUCAAACUGGGAAAGUUUUAGAGCAGCACCGAAUGGAUGGAUGGAUGUUUGGAGAAGGCCUUACACUUCUAGGCGACAGAUUGUUUCAAGUUACUUGGCGGAAGAAUGAUGGAUUCAUAUACGACCGGCAUAACUUUAGCAUACGUGAGAGUUUUACCCAUAAAAUGCGUGACGGGUGGGGGCUAGCCACCGAUGGAAAAAUUCUAUUUGGCAGUGAUGGCACCUCAAGUUUGUACCAGCUGGAUCCAGAAUCACUUGAAGUGACGAAGACAGUAACAGUGAAAUAUCAAGACAAUGCUGUUUCCUUUAUUAAUGAACUGGAGUAUAUAAAUGGUGAAGUAUGGGCAAAUGUCUGGCAGACAGAUUGCAUAGCUAGAGUUUCCCAUGAGGAUGGCCAAGUGGCGAGCUGGAUCUUUCUUCAUGAGCUUAGGCAGCAAUUGUGGGAUUCUGGCAACACGGCCAUUGAUGUUCUAAACGGUAUAGCUUGGGACGAAGAAAAGAACAGAUUGUUUGUGACCGGGAAAUUAUGGCCAAAGCUUUAUGAGAUCAAGCUUCGCCCAGUCGACGGGCCACCGAACGGGUCUGUGGAGAGGCUGUGCCCAAGGGCAAGCUUUUAUUGA
rnacentral:rRNA from 1 species